rnacentral:rRNA from 1 species
GACAGAGGCCUCGAGCGUUAGGCGGAAUCACUGGGCUUAAAGCGUGUGUAGGCGGAUCGUUAAGUACCUUGUGAAAUCCCACGGCUCAACCGUGGAACGGCUGGGUAUACUGGCGGUCUUGGGCCAUUCAGGGGCGACUGGAACAAGCGGUGGAGCGGUGAAAUGCGUAGAUAUCGCUUGGAACGCCGAAGGUGAAAACAGCUCGCUGGGGGUGUCCUGACGCUGAGGCGCGAAAGCCAGGGGAGCGAACGGG